AAAUAAAAGCGAAGGAAAUUGUGGAGUGACGCUAGACCACAGCCAAGCGCUGUCUGAACACGGUUAGCUCUGCACUCCACGCACUUUGCAAUGGGUCUCCUUAAGUGGGUGAUUGCACUCUGCCUCCUCGGUGUGAUGGCAACCUUUGCUCUUACGUCCGACGUCCCGGACAGGCUGACAAGGAGCUCCGACUUUGUGGAUCGGGGGGCACGCGGCGUCAUGCACCCGGUGUACGACGAGGGAUCCGAUUUUCUCGUUGAGACUUAAGUGUGCAAAUGCCAAGAUGCCAUAACAGCUUCUCAUGAUACUUUUACGGCUUCCUCAUUGCUGGGUCAUGCUAUGAUGGUGCCAUGAAAUGUACUGAUGAUUUAAUGUUUUCGGUUGAAAUAAACAAAUAGAUCAACA
rnacentral:lncRNA from 1 species